AUGCAGCUUCGGCGGCGCUUUUUUGCCUUCUCUUCGCUCUGGAAAGGAGUGCUAAUGGACACGGGGAGGGAGCAGGCAAAGCGUGUCGUUCAUAAUGGAAAGAAAGACACCACUACUUCGCCUCUUUGUUGGACCGCCGACGCGAACACGGUGGUCUCUGACCAGGACCAGGAACCAAUUCGAAUUUGGAUCUUGACAUGUUGGUUGUUUUUAACCGUAGGCAUCUCGCCAGGAAGUUGGUGGGCUCAUCAUGAAUUAGGUCGGGGUGGCUGGCGGUUUCGGGAUCCUGUAGAAAAUGUGUCUUUUAUUCCUCGGGUAUUAGCCACAGCUCGUAUUCAUUCAGUAAUUCUACCCCUUCUUCAUUCUUGGACCUCGCUUCUGAAUACUUUGACUCUUCCAUGCUGUGUCUUAGGAACCUUUUCAAUACAGUUCGGAUUGCUAGCUCCAUUUAAUAGUUCCGCUACAAACGAUACACGAGGAAGAUUUUUAUGGCAGUUCUUCCUUCUAAUUACAGGCAUAUCUAUGACUCUUUUUUACCAGAUGAAUUAG
rnacentral:rRNA from 1 species